rnacentral:rRNA from 1 species
GAUGAACGCUGGCGGCGUGCCUAAUACAUGCCAGUCGAGCGAACAGACGAGGAGCUUGCUCCUCUGACGUUAGCGGCGGACGGGUGAGUAACACGUGGAUAACCUACCUAUAAGACUGGGAUAACUUCGGGAAACCGGAGCUAAUACCGGAUAAUAUAUUGAACCGCAUGGUUCAAUAGUGAAAGACGGUUUUGCUGUCACUUAUAGAUGGAUCCGCGCCGCAUUAGCUAGUUGGUAAGGUAACGGCUUACCAAGGCGACGAUGCGUAGCCGACCUGAGAGGGUGAUCGGCCACACUGGAACUGAGACACGGUCCAGACUCCUACGGGAGGCAGCAGUAGGGAAUCUUCCGCAAUGGGCGAAAGCCUGACGGAGCAACGCCGCGUGAGUGAUGAAGGUCUUCGGAUCGUAAAACGCUGUUAUUAGGGAAGAACAAAUGUGUAAGUAACUAUGCACGUCUUGACGGUACCUAAUCAGAAAGCCACGGCUAACUACGU